GACGAACGCUGGCGGCGUGCUUAACACAUGCAAGUCGAACGGAAAGGCCCUGCUUUUGUGGGGUGCUCGAGUGGCGAACGGGUGAGUAACACGUGAGUAACCUGCCCUUGACUUUGGGAUAACUUCAGGAAACUGGGGCUCAUACCGGAUAGGAGCUCCUGCUGCAUGGUGGGGGUUGGAAAGUUUCGGCGGUGGGGGAUGGACUCGCGGCUUAUCCGCUUGUUGGUGGGGUAGUGGCUUUCCAAGCCUUUGACGGGUAGCCGGCCUGAGAGGGUGACCGGCGACAUUGGGACUGAGAUACGGCCCAGACUCCUACGGGAGGCAGCAGUGGGGAAUAUUGCACAAUGGGCGGAAGCCUGAUGCAGCAACGCCGCAUGCGGGAUGACGGCCUUCGGGUUGUAAACCGCUUUCGCCUGUGACGAAGCGUGAGUGACGGUAAUGGGUAAAGAAGCACCGGCUAACUACGUG
rnacentral:rRNA from 1 species